rnacentral:rRNA from 1 species
UUGAAAGGGAAACGAUUGAAGUCAGUCGUACCGACGAAGGAUCAACUUUUGGAAUGCGAGUUGGGGUAUUCGAGGAGUUUAAAAGCCUUCGUGUGCUCAUGUAUUCGUGCUUCUUGGUGCACUUCUUCGUAUUGGUAGGUUAACAUCAAUUUUGGACGUUACAAAAUGAUCGGGGGAAUGUAGCUUCGAUUUUUUCGAAGUGUUAUAGACCUUGGUAGAUGUGACGACCGGGAUUGAGGAUUGCAACGAAUGCUUUCGGGCUAUCCGUCUGACCUCUGGUGGUUGCUUUAGGGUCGAAAGCGUGCUNNNNNNUUNNAAGUUGGCUAUCAAAAGGCUAGAACGUGAUUAAAUUCGUUAAGGAUGUUGACGUA